GACGAACGCUGGCGGCGUGCUUAACACAUGCAAGUCGAACGCUGAAGCUUGGUACUUGUACUGGGUGGAUGAGUGGCGAACGGGUGAGUAAUACGUGAGUAACCUGCCCUUGACUCUGGGAUAAGCCUGGGAAACUGGGUCUAAUACUGGAUACGACAUGUCACCGCAUGGUGGUGUGUGGAAAGGGUUUUACUGGUUUUGGAUGGGCUCACGGCCUAUCAGCUUGUUGGUGGGGUAAUGGCUCACCAAGGCGACGACGGGUAGCCGGCCUGAGAGGGUGACCGGCCACACUGGGACUGAGAAACGGCCCAGACUCCUACGGGAGGCAGCAGUGGGGAAUAUUGCACAAUGGGCGGAAGCCUGAUGCAGCGACGCCGCGUGAGGGAUGACGGCCUUCGGGUUGUAAACCUCUUUCAGCACGGAAGAAGCGAAAGUGACGGUACGUGCAGAAGAAGCGCCGGCUAACUACGUG
rnacentral:rRNA from 1 species